UGCUCGAGGCUACACCCCGACGAGAGCUCAGAUUCUGAGUCUGCUGCAUGACAGGCCUGUGACGCUAGCCUGGAACCGGCAGGCAGGGGUCAGCGCGCUGGAACUCCACACCUGGCUCGGGUCAGAGGAAAACAGAGCCCUGACAAUUCUCCAUGAAAGCGAAGGUGUCACGGAGGAGAAUGAGAGUUACAGAGCAAGUAAAAUGUGAAGCCUCGGGGCUGAGACUGAGCGCCCCGCGGAUUUGCUCACCACAAUCUCCAGGCCGGUGACCGGGAGAGCUCCGCAGCAAGCCA